GAGGGCAUAGCUCAGUGGUAGAGUGUGUGCUCAGCAUGCACGAAGUCCUGGGUUCAAUCCCCAGUUCCUCUG
rnacentral:tRNA from 1 species